rnacentral:rRNA from 1 species
CCUACGGGUGGCAGCAGUGAGGAAUAUUGGUCAAUGGGCGGAAGCCUGAACCAGCCAAGUCGCGUGAGGGAUUAAGGCCCUGCGGGUCGUAAACCUCUUUUGCCGGGGAGCAGUGGUCCGGACGCGUCCGGACCGGGAGAGUACCCGGAGAAAAAGCAUCGGCUAACUCCGUGCCAGCAGCCGCGGUAAUACGGAGGAUGCGAGCGUUAUCCGGAUUUAUUGGGUUUAAGGGGUGCGUAGGCGGGCCUUCAGGCCGGCGGUAAAAUUGCGGGGCUCAACCCCGCCGAGCCGUCGGAACCGGGGGCCUUGAGUACCGGAGAAGUACGCGGAAUGCGUGGUGUAGCGGUGAAAUGCAUAGAUAUCACGCAGAACCCCGAUUGCGAAGGCAGCGUACCGGCCGGUCACUGACGCUGAGGCACGAAAGCGCGGGUAUCGAACAGGAUUAGAUACCCCAGUAGUC